CCCCUACGGGAGGCAGCAGUGAGGGAUAUUGGUCAAUGGGGGAAACCCUGAACCAGCAACGCCGCGUGAGGGAAGACGGUUUUCGGAUUGUAAACCUCUGUCCUCUGUGAAGAUAAUGACGGUAGCAGAGGAGGAAGCUCCGGCUAACUACGUGCCAGCAGCCGCGGUAAUACGUAGGGAGCAAGCGUUGUCCGGAUUUACUGGGUGUAAAGGGUGCGUAGGCGGCCCUGCAAGUCAGAUGUGAAAGCCCGCGGCUCAACUGCGGUAGUGCAUUUGGAACUGUAUGGCUGGAGUGCAGGAGAGGC
rnacentral:rRNA from 1 species